rnacentral:misc_RNA from 1 species
CCGAGUUUACAACUCCCAAACCCCUGUGAACAUACCAAUUGUUGCCCUCGGCGGAUCAGCCCGCUCCCGGUAAAACGGGACGGCCCGCCAGAGGACCCCUAAACUCUGUUUCUAUAUGUAACUUCUGAGUAAAACCAUAAAUAAAUCA